UGCGUAGGCGGGCUAAUAAGUCAGUGGUGAAAUCUUCCGGCUCAACCGGGAACCUGCCAUUGAUACUGUUAGUCUUGAGUACGGCUGAGGUAGGCGGAAUGUGUAAUGUAGCGGUGAAAUGCUUAGAUAUUACACAGAACACCAAUUGCGUAGGCAGCUUACUAGACCGACACUGACGCUGAGGCACGAAAGCGUGGGGAGCGAACAGGAUUAGAUACCCUGGUAGUCC
rnacentral:rRNA from 1 species